rnacentral:rRNA from 1 species
UACGUAGGGGGCAAGCGUUAUCCGGAUUUACUGGGUGUAAAGGGAGCGUAGGCGGUAAUGCAAGUCAGAAGUGAAAACCCCGGGCUUAACCCUGGGAUUGCUUUUGAAACUGUAUAACUAGAGUGCUGGAGGGGUAAGCGGAAUUCCUAGUGUAGCGGUGAAAUGCGUAGAUAUUAGGAAGAACACCGGUGGCGAAGGCGGCUUACUGGACAGUAACUGACGCUGAGGCUCGAAAGCGUGGGGAG